CAGCCGCCGCGGUAAUACGAAGGGGGCUAGCGUUGCUCGGAAUGACUGGGCGUAAAGGGCGCGUAGGCGGUUUUGACAGUCAGAUGUGAAAUUCCUGGGCUUAACCUGGGGGCUGCAUUUGAGACGUCAAGACUAGAGUGUGAGAGAGGGUUGUGGAAUUCCCAGUGUAGAGGUGAAAUUCGUAGAUAUUGGGAAGAACACCGGUGGCGAAGGCGGCAACCUGGCUCAUUACUGACGCUGAGGCACGAAAGCGUGGGGAGCAAACAGGAUUAGAUACCCCCGUAGUCCCUGUCUCUUAUAC
rnacentral:rRNA from 1 species